GACUCUGUAGCUCAGUGGUUAGAGCAUACGAUUGCAAAUCGUGGGGUCCCGGGUUCAAAUCUCGGCAGGGUCU